CUCAAAUUUGAAGCUGGCACCUCCGGUGUCCGCGUUGUAAUCUCGAGACGUGUUUUCCGUGCGGCUCUAUGGACAAGUCCCUUGGAAUAGGGCAUCGUAGAGGGUGAGAAUCCCGUACUUGCCAUGGAAGAACCGUGCUUUGCGAUACACGCUCUAAGAGUCGAGUUGUUUGGGAUUGCAGCUCAAAAUGGGUGGUAGACUCCAUCUAAAGCUAAAUAUCGGGGAGAGACCGAUAGCGAACAAGUACCGUGAGGGAAAGAUGAAAAGCACUUUGGAAAGAGAGUUAAAAGUACGUGAAAUUGUCGAAAGGGAAGCACUUGAAGUCAGCCAUGCUGCUUGAGACUCAGCCUGGCCUUUGGGCUUGGUGUAUUUCUCGGUGGCAAGCCAGCAUUGGUUUGGGUCGUCGGAGAAGCGCAUAGGGAAUGUAGCGUCUCCGGACGUGUUAUAGCCUUAUGCAGGAUACGACGACCUGGAUCAAGGAACGCAGUGUGCCCUCUGGGCGGGUC
rnacentral:rRNA from 1 species